AAUCGCUUUACCUUGCAGAAAUGUGCUGGCAGCAUCCUGUAAAAUCUUUGAGGAAGCUUAUCCAUUGUCAUUAACUUUGGAAGAUUCAUGGAGCUCUAAAAGACAUAAAAAAAAAGAAAUAGGAAGCUCUGCCUUAAAGAAACAAGCAGGAAGAAAAACGAAGGGACACACCAUCAUGGACAGGCUUUGCAGAAAUUUCCAAAGUUAAUAUCUCCCUAAGGAAGGGUGAGUCUUCACAUCUGCUGUCGUAUGGCUACACCAGGAUUUUGAAGGCCCAAGGAACUUCUCACCCCGCAGCAUUUAGACUUUGCUUGUCUGGAGGCAAGAGGCCCCACUAGGGCUGGAGAGCCAGAAGAGCAACCGGCUAUAAUCUUCUGUGUGCAGAGUGGCCUCUGGAGUCCCUUCACCUGGCUGGAGAUUUCAAAAGAUGCUACAAAUGGAGCAGGUGGGUCAUGGAUAAUAAGAUCCCCACCCUCCAGGAGCCUGAAGUGUGGGAAGCAGACCGUCUUGUCUUCCAGCACCUACUGUAGAUGUGCAAAUGACCACGUAUCACUAUGGACGUGACAUACAGAGCAGAUGUUCUGGUACUUGUUACCAUGUUAUCAUGUUAAGCACUUUCAUGUUCACUGAAUGGGUUGCUUGUUCUGUCUGUACCACUUGCUGUGUGCUAUGCUCCUGUCCCCCUUCCCAGCUGUGUUUAUUCUGUGUUCCAAGUCUGGAAUUUCCA